AACGUAGGACACAAGCGUUAUCCGGAGUUACUGGGCGUAAAGGGCGUGUAGGCGGAGUAUGUAAGUCUAUUCUGAAAGCUCCUGGCUAAACUGGGAGAGGCGAAUGGAGACUGCAUGAUCUAGAGUGAGGAAGAGGAAAGUGGAAUUCCGCGUGUAGUGGUGAAAUGCGCAGAGUAUCAGGAGGAACAGCCGGUGGCGAAGGCGGUUCUCUGG
rnacentral:rRNA from 1 species